GACAGAGGUGCCAAGCGUUAGGCGGAAUCACUGGGCUUAAAGCGUGUGUAGGCGGAUGCCUAAGUACCUUGUGAAAUCCCCCGGCUCAACCGGGGAACUGCUGGGUAUACUGGGUGUCUUGGGUCAUCUAGGGGCUGCCGGAACAAAUGGUGGAGCGGUGAAAUGCGUAGAUAUCAUUUGGAACGCCAACGGCGAAAGCAGGCAGCUGCGGAUGCACCGACGCUGAGACACGAAAGCCAGGGGAGCGAACGGG
rnacentral:rRNA from 1 species